GCCGGGAUAGCUCAGUUGGGAGAGCAGCAGACUGAAGUAUUUGUGCAUUGGCAUUCUGAAGGUCCCGUGUUCAAUCCACGGUCCUGGCA